rnacentral:rRNA from 1 species
AUGAACACUAGCACAUUCAGUAUUAUGAGUGAUAAACAGAAGGGGCUCAUAAAGGCUGUGAAUGAACAGUUCCCUGACUCAGAGCAUAGGUUUUGUGUGAGACACCUGUACCAAAACUUGCACUCAGCACACAAAGGUGAGACAAUCAGACAACAACUAUGGACUUGUGCCAAAUCAACCACUCCAACCAUGUUUGAAAUUAAUAUGGAGAAGAUGAAGGAAGAUAAUCCAAAAGCUUAUGCUUGGUUGGAAGAUAAGCCUCCAAAUCAAUGGUCAAGGGCCUUUUUUGAAGUUUUUCCCAAGUGUGACAUUUUGUUG